UCUGUACCUCAGCUUUGCUCCCAACCAACCACUUCCACAUGUUUUGCUGGUAGAGCUGAGGACAGC
ensembl:miRNA MIR4451 microRNA 4451